rnacentral:rRNA from 1 species
AUACGGAAGGUCCGGGCGUUAUCCGGAUUUAUUGGGUUUAAAGGGAGCGCAGGCGGAGAUGCAAGCGUGACGUCAAAUUUCGGGGCUCAACCCCGUCUCGCGUCGCGAACUGCGUCCCUUGGUUGCGGGAAGGGGAGGCGGAACUCGGGGUGUAGCGGUGAAAUGCAUAGAUAUCACGAAGAACUCCGAUCGCGAAGGCAGCCUUCCGGCCCGUCAACGACGCUCAUGCUCGAAGGUGCGGGUAUCAAACAGGAUUAGAUACCCUGGUAGUCCGCACAGUAAACGAUGGACACCCGCGGUUUGGCCUGUAUGGCUGAGCCGCCAAGCGAAAGCGUUAAGUGUCCCACCUGGGGAGUACGCCGGCAACGGUGAAACUCAAAUGAAUCGACGGGG